rnacentral:rRNA from 1 species
GAUCCCAUCAGAACUCCGCAGUUAAGCGUGCUUGGGCGAGAGUAGUACUAGGAUGGGUGACCCCCUGGGAAGUCCUCGUGUUGCAUCCCU